rnacentral:rRNA from 1 species
GGGUUGUGAGGUUAAGCGACUAAGCGUACACGGUGGAUGCCCUGGCAGUCAGAGGCGAUGAAGGGCGUGCUAAUCUGCGAUAAGCGCCGGUAAGGUGAUAUGAACCGUUAUAACCGGCGAUACCCGAAUGGGGAAACCCAGUGUGACUCGUCACACUAUCAUUAACUGAAUCCAUAGGUUAAUGAGGCGAACCGGGGGAACUGAAACAUCUAAGUACCCCGAGGAAAAGAAAUCAACCGAGAUUCCCCCAGUAGCGGCGAGCGAACGGGGAGGAGCCCAGAGCCUGAAUCAGCAUGUGUGUUAGUGGAAGCGUCUGGAAAGGCGCGCGAUACAGGGUGACAGCCCCGUACACAAAAGCGCAUGUGUUGUGAGCUCGAUGAGUAGGGCGGGACACGUGAUAUCCUGUCUGAAUAUGGGGGGACCAUCCUCCAAGGCUAAAUACUCCUGACUGACCGAUAGUGAACCAGUACCGUGAGGGAAAGGCGAAAAGAACCCCGGCGAGGGGAGUGAAAAAGAACCUGAAACCGUGUACGUACAAGCAGUGGGAGCACCCUUUUGGGUGUGACUGCGUACCUUUUGUAUAAUGGGUCAGCGACUUAUAUUCUGUAGCAAGGUUAACCG